rnacentral:rRNA from 1 species
GACGAACGCUGGCGGCGUGCCUAAUACAUGCAAGUCGAACGCAUUUUCUUUCACCGUAGCUUGCUACACCGAAAGAAAAUGAGUGGCGAACGGGUGAGUAACACGUGGGUAACCUGCCCAUCAGCGGGGGAUAACACUUGGAAACAGGUGCUAAUACCGCAUAAUUCCAUUUACCGCAUGGUAGAUGGGUGAAAGGCGCUUUUGCGUCACUGAUGGAUGGACCCGCGGUGCAUUAGCUAGUUGGUGGGGUAACGGCCUACCAAGGCUGCGAUGCAUAGCCGACCUGAGAGGGUGAUCGGCCACACUGGGACUGAGACACGGCCCAGACUCCUACGGGAGGCAGCAGGAGGGAAUCUUCGGCAAUGGACGCAAGUCUGACCGAGCAACGCCGCGUGAGUGAAGAAGGUUGUCGGAUCGUAAAACUCUGUUGUUAGAGAAGAACAAGGAUGAGAGUGGAAAGUUCAUCCCUUGACGGUAUCUAACCAGAAAGCCACGGCUAACUACGUG